UUCAACAAGACUCAGCACCGUCUCACAAAGCGCGAGUGAACCAAGAAUGGCUGAAAACAACGUUCCGAACUUCGUUACGACCACACAAUGGCUCUCGAAUUCACCAGAUGCGAAUCCAAUGGAUUAUUCUCUCUGGGCCAUUUUGGAGAGCAAGGUCCGAAGUAAAAAAUACACCAGUCUCGAGAUGCUGAAGAAAGCCAUUGUCCGUGAGUGGGCCAAAAUACCGGCAAGUCGCAUUCGGGCAGCUUGCGAUUCGUUUUUUGACCGUCUCAAGGCCAUAGUUAAGGCAAAAGGUGGUCAUAUCGAGCAAAAGUGAAUUGGUCCUGAAUUUAUGAUUAUUUUCACACAUUUUGUACUUUAAAAUAAAUAAAAAUAAUUUUCCAAACCAAA